rnacentral:rRNA from 1 species
AGUGAACGCUGGCGGCGUGCCUAAUACAUGCAAGUCGAACGGAGUGGCGCACGGGUGAGUAAUAUAUAGCUAAUCUGCCCCUUGCUGGAGGACAACAGUUAGAAAUGACUGCUAAUACUCCAUAGCAAGGGAUGAGACUAUAUCGUAUCAGCUAGUCGGUGGGGUAACGGCCGACCGAGGCUAUGACGCGUAACAGGUCUGAGAGGAUGAUCAGUAACAUUGGAACUGAGGCACGAUCGAAACUCCUACGGGAAGCAGCAGUAGCGAAUAGUACGCAAUGGGGGAAUCGCUGACACGGCAUCGCGGCGUGGAGGAUGACACUUUUCGAAGCAUAAACUCCUUUUGUUAGGGAAGCGGUACCUAACGAAUAAGCACCGGCUAACUCCGUGCCAGCAGCCGCGGUAAUUC